rnacentral:tRNA from 1 species
GCGUGGGCGGCUACGGCGGUGGUGUAGCGUCCGACUGUAAAUCGGAUCCCUUUGAGGCAAACAUUGCUGGUUCGAAUCCAGCCCCACGCACCA